AGUAGCAGCAGAUGGAAGAGGAGGAGGAGGAGGAGGAGAAGGAGGAAGAGGAGGAGAAUGAAUCCACUCCUCACUUUACACAAUUCUAAAGGCAAUGCUGCUGGAAUGGUGGCAGGACAGUGGAUUAGAAGGGGUCCGGUUGCCUGGGAUUUCCCUAGCAGUAGCACACAGUCUCCUAUCCCAGGAAAUCCCUCAGUCCCAAGCAAAUCACGACCUUUGAUCACCUCGCUAAGCGGCACAAGGUGAUAAAAACCUCGUCCCUGGUCUGAAAGACAUUUAAGUCCAGCUGAAGUUCACCAUGAUGUGAGUGUUGAGAAAGGUACAUGGCAUUCAAGAUCCUCGGGGGCAAAUCUGCAAUUUGGAAGGAAAUCAAUAUGGCUACUUCUCCUCUUUUCUCCUUUGGGAGAAGGGGUUCCCAGGACCUGUGGUUGGAGGACAGCACCUGAUGCCUAUUUGUUCACAGUCUUGCUGUACCCGUAAACGCAGACAUUUUGAGGCUGUAUCUGUAUCAGUCAGACGGUACUGGGAGAGUCCCAGCAAUAUUUGACAAGGGGAAGUUUAAUAUAAAGAUUCAGUCAUUAUAACAGGGUGAUAACUAUCAGGAAUAAAAAGAAUGCUAAAGAAUGAAUGCCCUAGGGAGGAAAGUAGCCAAGGAAGAAACAAACUCGGAAGGGGUCCCUCUCCUGGAGCUGGGACUCAAACCUGGUUGAGUGGUUUCAGCCCACUAAAUGCGGGCCAAGUUGCUGGGUGGCCCUUGGUCGCCGAAGCCGGUCUAUAGAUACUGGACAAGUAGGGAAAACGCUUCUGGAGGGCAGGAGAGCAGCACUGGGAAGCAGGAAGCAUCCUCUGGGGCACAUGUGGAUACGGCUGACGAAUCACUCCAGAGUGCAGGAAAAUGGAGGCUGGUGGGCGGGACUGGGCAGGAUGUAGGGCAUCAAGAGCCCAUUUUCUUGAAGCCUAAUGUCAGAGGGUUGCAGUUGAGUGGUCACUGCGACAGGGCUGAGUGCUUGCUUUGAUGUGCACUCUGGUUCAAGGCCGAUACUCUUGCUCCUCCUUCUUCCUGGAACAUUGUUGCCCCAGCUUCCCCAUUGCCUCCUUCAAGCCUCUGUCCCACCACCACUCAGAAUUUGUUCCCUGGCACUCCAUCAAACAGCUUGUCUUCCCUGUGACUCUUUCCUUUUAUCAAGCCCUGUUCUUCUUCAUAAUAACUUACCACUAUGCCAAAUUCUAUUAUUUUAAAUAAUAUAUUUAUUUAUUUACCUAUGCGUAUGUAUUUACCGAUUCACUUAGUCACCAGCUCUAGGAAGGAAGGGACACAACUUGCUUGUUGAGGUAUCCUCAAAACCUAGAACAGUUGAAAGAAUGGAAUAGGUAUCCAAUAGAUAUUGAUGAUAUGAAUGACUAUAGGUGUCAGAAACGGGGAAGUUCUUCUGGAAUAGAAGGCCGUAUGCAGACAGACCUAUAGCAAUAGAAUUUUAGCCCUUAACUGAGUUAGCAGAGCAACAAAGUGUUUGCAUUUUGGUUAUUCUACCCCAACUUGAUGAAAAUGAGUUCCAUUCACUUUGUGUGUUGUAUAAUUAAUAUACAGUAAAAUUUAUUUGUGUGUGUAUAUGUGUGUGUGUACAGUUCUGUGAGUUUUGACAAAUAUAUACAAUUUUGUAAAAUCAGUGCAAUCAGCAUAUAAAGCAGGGGUUCCCAGGUGGCUCAGUUAGUUGAGCAUCCAACUCUUGAUUUCAGCUUAGGUCAUGACCCCAGGAUCAUGGGCUCAAGUUCCGCGUCAAGGUUCCAUGCUGUGUGGAGUCUGCUAAAGAUUCUCUCUCACUUUUCCUCUGCCCCACUC